GUGGUGAGGGCUGGUGACUUGCCGUACAAAUCAGACACUGAUUUCUACGCCUUCGAAGCGGUCACGCUCGUUCCUUUUGAACCAAAGUUCAUCAAAGUGAACAUGCUGAGCCAUGAACAGUGCAAGUUCAUCAACGACUACCACCACCGCGUGCGUACGGAGGUGGGCAACCUGCUGGAGAAACAGGGACGCUCCCAGGGCCUCGCUUACCUCCUGAAGAAGACGGAGCCUCUGGAGUGCUCCAGGUCCAGCGAAGAGUCCUUUGAAUUAUAGAAAUAAUAAUAUUCAUAGCGGCGUCAGCGUU